rnacentral:rRNA from 1 species
GGGUUGUGAGGUUAAGCGACUAAGCGUACACGGUGGAUGCCCUGGCAGUCAGAGGCGAUGAAGGACGUGCUAAUCUGCGAUAAGCGUCGGUAAGGUGAUAUGAACCGUUAUAACCGGCGAUUUCCGAAUGGGGAAACCCAGUGUGUUUCGACACACUAUCAUUAACUGAAUCCAUAGGUUAAUGAGGCGAACCGGGGGAACUGAAACAUCUAAGUACCCCGAGGAAAAGAAAUCAACCGAGAUUCCCCCAGUAGCGGCGAGCGAACGGGGAGGAGCCCAGAGCCUGAAUCAGUGUGUGUGUUAGUGGAAGCGUCUGGAAAGGCGCGCGAUACAGGGUGACAGCCCCGUACACAAAAAUGCACAUGCUGUGAGCUCGAUGAGUAGGGCGGGACACGUGGUAUCCUGUCUGAAUAUGGGGGGACCAUCCUCCAAGGCUAAAUACUCCUGACUGACCGAUAGUGAACCAGUACCGUGAGGGAAAGGCGAAAAGAACCCCGGCGAGGGGAGUGAAAAAGAACCUGAAACCGUGUACGUACAAGCAGUGGGAGCAUGCUUAGGCGUGUGACUGCGUACCUUUUGUAUAAUGGGUCAGCGACUUAUAUUCUGUAGCAAGGUUAACCGAAUAGGGGAGCCGAAGGGAAACCGAGUCUUAACUGGGCGUUAAGUUGCAGGGUAUAGACCCGAAACCCGGUGAUCUAGCCAUGGGCAGGUUGAAGGUUGGGUAACACUAACUGGAGGACCGAACCGACUAAUGUUGAAAAAUUAGCGGAUGACUUGUGGCUGGGGGUGAAAGGCCAAUCAAACCGGGAGAUAGCUGGUUCUCCCCGAAAGCUAUUUAGGUAGCGCCUCGUGAACUCAUCUCCGGGGGUAGAGCACUGUUUCGGCAAGGGGGUCAUCCCGACUUACC